AGACGACCCGCCGGCCGCCCCCGCCUUCCUCAGCCGCGGAUACGACCCGCCGACAGCCCCCGAUACGGACCCUCACCCUCGCCGCGCCGAGCGCCGCUUGCUCUGGCAGCGUCCCUGCAAUGCAAGGAAUACUUGCCUGAGGUUUGAGAUCUAUUUCUCCCUGCUGCUCUACGAUUACCACGCAAGGAGUCCUUGCAUCUCAGAUCGUUUGGACAGCACUACUUGAUCACACUCUACAACCUUAGGUUUGGGGCUGGAAUACUAUCGAAUAUUUUAAGCUCGGUUAUUUGAACCAAGAUCAGUAUACAAUGAGAAUGGAACUCUUGUUGUCGCACUUUUUGAUAUAUUGAAAAUGCCAUCAAGAAUAUUUGUCGUCAAAGUGUUUUCACGACUUAUUCAAAGACAACAAGAAUGGAACUCGGGAUGUCAGUUCAAAUGUCAAAUUCUCAAAACUUUUGGAAGGCAACUUCUGGAACUUUAGGUCAUGAGGAUGGAAAACUUAUGUGCGCUUAUCAUUUCAUCAACUUUCUAGUUCCUAUUUUGAAAGUUGAUAAACAAAUCACAUCUCCAUGAGACUUUGAAUCGUAAAAGAGAAUGGAACUUGGGUUGCCACUUUAACUGUCGAAUUCCUGGAUAUUUUUGAAAGGCAACUUGUGGAAGGAAUUAGAGCUUUAGAUCACGAAGAUGGAAAACCUUUAUCGACACUUUUCAGUCUGCAACUUUCCAGGUUUUUUUUGUUCUAUGUUCAUAGCAAAUCCAGUCUCCAAAAGGAGCUUGAAUUGUAAAUGAGAACAGAGUAUUGUGCUUGUAAUUUAUUUCUUCUUCAGAUUUCACUUUCUCGUGUAAUUGUACUUUGCUUAUUAUAUGAAUGAAUAAAGAUACUUUCUGCAA